UACGUAGGGCGCAAGCGUUGUCCGGAAUUAUUGGGCGUAAAGAGCGCGCAGGCGGUCGUUCAAGUCGCGUGUGAAAGCCCCCGGCUCAACUGGGGAGGGUCACGCGAUACUGAUCGACUCGAAGGCAGGAGAGGGUAGUGGAAUUCCCGGUGUAGUGGUGAAAUGCGUAGAUAUCGGGAGGAACACCAGUGGCGAAGGCGACUACCUGGCCUGUUCUUGACGCUGAGGCGCGAAAGCUAGGGGGGCAAACGGG
rnacentral:rRNA from 1 species